rnacentral:rRNA from 1 species
GACGAACGCUGGCGGCGUGCCUAACACAUGCAAGUCGAGCGGAGUCGAUCGACGGAAGCCUUCGGGCGGAAGAUGGUUGACUUAGCGGCGGAUGGGUGAGUAACGCGUGGGCAACCUGCCUCGAAGACCGGGAUAACAGUCCGAAAGGGCUGCUAAUACCGGAUGUGGUCAAGGAUCCGCAUGGAUUUUUGAUUAAAGGGGAAACCCGUUUCGAGAUGGGCCCGCGUCCUAUCAGCUAGUUGGUGAGGUAAAAGCUCACCAAGGCGACGACGGGUAGCCGGCCUGAGAGGGUGACCGGCCACGACUGGAACUGAGACACGGUCCAGACUCCUACGGGGGCAGCAGUGGGGAAUCUUCCACAAUGGGCGAAAGCCUGAUGGAGCGACGCCGCGUGAGCGAAGAAGGCCUUGGGUUGUAAAGCUCUGUCUGGAGGGACGAAGGAAGUGACGGUACUCCGGAGAGCCACGGCUAACUACGUGCCAGCAGCCGCGGUAAAAUCAACGUGUA